CUAUUUGUAUUUGUUAUAUUAUUUCUUUCAUUAAUAUUACAUGACUGGUUUAGAUACAUGAAUUAAUAUUA